GACGUAGGUGGCGAGCGUUAUUCGGAAUCACUAGGCGUAAAGCGAGUGUAGGCGGAUGCUUAAGUCCGUAGUGAAAUCUCCCGGCUCAACCGGGAGGGGUCUGCGGAUACUGGGCGUCUUGAGUUGGGUAGGGGGGAUCAGAAUUCCCGGUGUAGCGGUGAAAUGCGCAGAUAUCGGGAAGAAUACCGGUGGCGAAGGCGGAUCCCUGGACCUGGACUGACGCUGAGACUCGAAAGCUAGGGGAGCAAACAGG
rnacentral:misc_RNA from 1 species